rnacentral:lncRNA from 1 species
AGGGUUCAUCUUCCAUUUUCAACCUUUUUGUUUACUUCUCACCCUUUACACAGCUGUGAAUUAUUUUCCUUCUUCUACACAAAUUACAACAUAACAUAAAAUCAACCUCAUCAUAAUAACAUUUCUUCCUAUUUUUUUUUUAAUUUUGAUUUUGAUUUCAACUUAGCUGUAACCAGAUAAACAAAUCGGGUUUUAUUUU